rnacentral:lncRNA from 1 species
CUCUAUUCUUAUUACACGACAAUGAGCAAAGAGGGGCAGCUGUAAUAGGUCCAUUUCGUCCGGGCCCAUUAGAAUAAAAAAUAGAAAUUUAAAAAACCAAAAAUAAAAAUAAACAAAAACAAAAAAAUAAAUUAAGAUGAAAACCAAUAAAAGUUCAUUACCAAUGUCCUUUUACAAAUUUUUGAGGCUCAAAUAAAGAGCUUAUACCAGCCCAAAUACAAUUUUAACCCAAAUUCAAAAACCCAUAUCCUAAACCUAGCUCAAACCCAAAAGAACUCAAAAGAAAAAAGAAUUUCAGCAGCCAAGAACUCCAGAAGCUCCUGGAAUACACUGGAAGGGCAGCAGAGGGUUGGCUUCCCACGUGAGAUCCCCGCACACAGCCUCCACGCCAUUCGGGUCAUCUCCUCCGUACGGCCAUACCUGCAAUCGAAUGCACGAGAAGCAGCAAUAACAGAAUACAAAAUAGAUUUCUGUAAUUUUUAAAUUGUUAUUUUUCCUGCUAUAAAAAGCCCUCACUUGUACUAUACAUUUUACGCGAACUAUACGCAUACACAAGCAAAUCAAAUAGAGAGAAAUUAAUCAACAUUUUAAGGUGAUUUUAGCUUUUCUAGUUUUUUCUUCUUUCUUGAUUUAUUUUCUGGAAGUGCUUCAUCACUGCAUUUAAAAAAAAAAUAGAAAUAAAGAAAACAAGGGAAAGGAAGUGUUACCGUGCAAAAAACGCCAUGGAGUUCUUCUCUUUGCUUCGUUGACGUCGAAGUUGAAGGGAGAUCUCGAGGCUGAUUCGGGCUAAAGUGGAUGUUCUUUUUAAACUUCAUUUUGCUUUGGUAAAAUAGUAUGGGAUUUUAAGGUUUUUUUUUAAAAAAAAAAAAAAGGGAGAAGGAGUGCACUUACCAGAUCUCCAUGGGCGUGACUUCCAUUGACAAAAUCUGGUCACCAUUGGUGAUCCAUUGGCCAUCAAGUAAAUGAUGGUUUGGGCGGCUGCAUGUUGAGCCAAACCCUAGUGAUAGGGGAUAAAAUUUUUGAUUUAGGAAAAUGGAAGGUUAAGUUGAAUUUUGAAAAGAAAAAAUGAAGGAAAAUUAAAAGGUAGCAUUAAAUGUGGAAACAUCAUCAUGUAAAAAAGUGGGCCUGUGCGUGGUGACCCAAUCUGAGAAUUGAAUCCGCUUACUUUUGCUUCAAAUGGAUUAAUAGCGCAUUUGGUCCUCCUCUUUCAUGCCUAUUUUCAAUUGGCCUUGUUUAUACUUCGUUUAUCUUAGAAAUUUUCCCUAAAAUUUGUAUGCCCUUGCAUUUUAGCCCACGUCUCAACGCAAUGUUUUAGGAUCAGGGAUAAUUUCAAUCUUGGUCCCUGUGAAUUCACGCGUAUUAUAUAUGGGUC